rnacentral:lncRNA from 1 species
GAAAUGACUCGUGUGUGUGUGUGUGCACGUGUGAGCUUGGAGGUCCGGUGAGGAUCGCAACAGCGGCCACGAAGGAUCAGAAUGGCACUAGUGAGUGGCUGAAAAAGCUCCCCUGAGGAAAAGGACCCCUUCAGCACAGCAGCAGUUUUCUUAGGAAGCUGUUCCUUCCAAAAUGCAUUCUGGUGCCCUAGCCACGAAGGGACGUUUCCCAGGGCGGCAGAAGACUGUGGAUGGUUCUGGAGGCUCCAGUUACACUGAAACCCUGGAGGAGGACACCUCGUGGAAGUACAAAAGACACAGGAGACUGCUUCCCUGGCCAACUCCAACAGUAGGAGUCUAUCUCUCAACUCAGCCGGCCUCUGCGUUGGAUCUCUUUGUCUCGAAGAUUUGCAACUCUUUUCUGGCAACCUCAGAAUGGUGUGGCCACGGUGGAGUCUCGUUCCAUCUGUGUUCUCUUCAACUAAUGAAAAACUAUGGAGGUCUCAUUAGUAAGUAACGCAUGUAAUGCCCGUUGAUGUCAAUGGUGGUUGGCGGGUAGAGUUUGUGUGGGAGCACGGCCUUUAUGCCUUUGGCGGUCCCACAGGGCGCCUAUGUUCUUGUUUCUGCCUCACUUUCAGACACCUGCCUUCCCUCAACACCAACAUUAGGUUUG